UACGGGGGGAGCAAGCGUUGUUCGGAUUUACUGGGCGUAAAGGGCGGGUAGGCGGCCACUGCAAGUCGGUUGUGAAAUCUCCGGGCUUAACCCGGAAAGGUCAAUCGAUACUGCAGGGCUAGAGUGCAGAAGGGGCAACUGGAAUUCUCGGUGUAGCGGUGAAAUGCGUAGAUACCGAGAGGAACACCUGCGGCGAAGGCGGGUUGCUGGGCUGACACUGACGCUGAACUGCGAAAGCUAGGGGAGCGAACGGG
rnacentral:rRNA from 1 species